rnacentral:rRNA from 1 species
UAGGGAAUCUUCCGCAAUGGACGCAAGUCUGACGGAGCAACGCCGCGUGAGUGAAGAAGGAUUUCGGUUCGUAAAACUCUGUUGUUAGAGAAGAACAGCGCAUAGAGUAACUGUUAUGCGUGUGACGGUAUCUAACCAGAAAGCCACGGCUAACUACGUGCCAGCAGCCGCGGUAAUACGCAGGUGGCAAGCGUUGUCCGGAUUUAUUGGGCGUAAAGCGAGCGCAGGCGGUCAAUUAAGUCUGAUGUGAAAGCCCCCGGCUCAACCGGGGAGGGUCAUUGGAAACUGGUUGACUUGAGUGCAGAAGAGGAGAGUGGAAUUCCAUGUGUAGCGGUGAAAUGCGUAGAUAUAUGGAGGAACACCAGUGGCGAAGGCGACUCUCUGGUCUGUAACUGACGCUGAGGCUCGAAAGCGUGGGUAGCAAACAGG